GAGUUUGAUCGUGGCUCAGAACGAACGCUGGCGGCAGGCUUAACACAUGCAAGUCGAACGCCCCGCAAGGGGAGUGGCGCAAGGGUGAGAAACGCGUGGGAAUUUGCCUUUUGGUUCGGAAUAACCACAGGAAACUGUGGCUAAUACCGGAUGGUCCCUUCGGGGUAAAGAUUUAUCGCCAAAAGAUGAGCCCGCGUCAGAUUAGCUAGUUGGUGGGGUAACGGCCUACCAAGGCAACGAUCUGUAGCUGGUCUUAGAGGACGAUCAGCCACACUGGAACUGAGACACGGUCCAGACUCCUACGGGAGGCAGCAGUGGGGAAUAUUGGACAAUGGGGGCAACCCUGAUCCAGCCAUGCCGCGUGAGUGAUGAAGGCCUUCGGUUGU
rnacentral:rRNA from 1 species